rnacentral:rRNA from 1 species
CCAGCUCCAAUAGCGUAUACUAAAGUUGUUGCAGUUAAAAAGCUCGUAGUUGAAUUUCUGAUCGCGGAUUCCGGUCCUUCUCGUGAGAGUUGCGUGCCUUAAUCUACGUUCAUCUUCGAAGGAAAUAGCUCUGGCAUUAAGUUGUUGGGGUUGGGACCUUCGUCAUUUACUGUGAGUAAAAUAGAGUGUUCAAAGCAGGCUUAUGCCGUUGAAUACGUUAGCAUGGAAUAAUAAGAUAAGACCUUGGUCUAUUUUGUUGGUUUGCUGUCCAAGGUAAUGAUUAAUAGGGAUAGUUGGGGGUAUUCGUAUUCCAUUGUCAGAGGUGAAAUUCUUGGAUUUAUGGAAGACGAACUACUGCGAAAGCAUUUACCAAGGAUGUUUUCA